UACGAAGGGUGCAAGCGUUAAUCGGAAUUACUGGGCGUAAAGCGCGCGUAGGUGGUUCAGUAAGUUGGAUGUGAAAUCCCCGGGCUCAACCUGGGAACUGCAUCCAAAACUGCUGAGCUAGAGUACGGUAGAGGGUGGUGGAAUUUCCUGUGUAGCAGUGAAAUGCGUAGAUAUAGGAAGGAACACCAGUGGCGAAGGCGACCACCUGGACUGAUACUGACACUGAGGUGCGAAAGCGUGGGGAGCAAACAGG
rnacentral:rRNA from 1 species